UACGUAGGGCGCAAGCGUUGUCCGGAAUUACUGGGCGUAAAGGGCGCGUAGGCGGCCUUCUAAGUCGAACGUGAAAUCCCCGGGCUCAACCCGGGAACUGCGUCCGAUACUGGAAGGCUUGAAUCCGGGAGAGGGAUGCGGAAUUCCAGGUGUAGCGGUGAAAUGCGUAGAUAUCUGGAGGAACACCGGUGGCGAAGGCGGCAUCCUGGACCGGCAUUGACGCUGAGGCGCGAAAGCCAGGGGAGCAAACGGG
rnacentral:rRNA from 1 species